UGGAGGACCGAACCGACUAAUGUUGAAAAAUUAGCGGAUGACCUGUGGCUGGGGGUGAAAGGCCAAUCAAACCGGGAGAUAGCUGGUUCUCCCCGAAAGCUAUUUAGGUAGCGCCUCGUGAAUUCAUCUCCGGGGGUAGAGCACUGUUUCGGCUAGGGGGCCAUCCCGGCUUACCAACCCGAUGCAAACUGCGAAUACCGGAGAAUGUUAUCACGGGAGACACACGGCGGGUGCUAACGUCCGUCGUGAAGAGGGAAACAACCCAGACCGCCAGCUAAGGUCCCAAAGUCAUGGUUAAGUGGGAAACGAUGUGGGAAGGCCCAGACAGCCAGGAUGUUGGCUUAGAAGCAGCCAUCAUUUAAAGAAAGCGUAAUAGCUCACUGGUCGAGUCGGCCUGCGCGGAAGAUGUAACGGGGCUAAACCAUGCACCGAAGCUGCGGCAGCGACACUGUGUGUUGUUGGGUAGGGGAGCGUUCUGUAAGCCUGUGAAGGUGUGUCGUGAGGCAUGCUGGAGGUAUCAGAAGUGCGAAUGCUGACAUAAGUAACGAUAAAGCGGGUGAAAAGCCCGCUCGCCGGAAGACCAAGGGUUCCUGUCCAACGUUAAUCGGGGCAGGGUGAGUCGACCCCUAAGGCGAGGCCGAAAGGCGUAGUCGAUGGGAAACGGGUUAAUAUUCCCGUACUUGGUGUUACUGCGAAGGGGGGACGGAGAAGGCUAUGUUGGCCGGGCGACGGUUGUCCCGGUUUAAGCGUGUAGGUGUGUGUUCCAGGUAAAUCCGGUUCACUUUAACACUGAGGCGUGACGACGAGGCACUACGGUGCUGAAGCAACAAAUGCCCUGCUUCCAGGAAAAGCCUCUAAGCAUCAGGUAACAUCAAAUCGUACCCCAAACCGACACAGGUGGUCAGGUAGAGAAUACCAAGGCGCUUGAGAGAACUCGGGUGAAGGAACUAGGCAAAAUGGUGCCGUAACUUCGGGAGAAGGCACGCUGACACGUAGGUGAAGUGAUUUACUCAUGGAGCUGAAGUCAGUCGAAGAUACCAGCUGGCUGCAACUGUUUAUUAAAAACACAGCACUGUGCAAACACGAAAGUGGACGUAUACGGUGUGACGCCUGCCCGGUGCCGGAAGGUUAAUUGAUGGGGUCAGCGCAAGCGAAGCUCCUGAUCGAAGCCCCGGUAAACGGCGGCCGUAACUAUAACGGUCCUAAGGUAGCGAAAUUCCUUGUCGGGUAAGUUCCGACCUGCACGAAUGGCGUAAUGAUGGCCAGGCUGUCUCCACCCGAGACUCAGUGAAAUUGAACUCGCUGUGAAGAUGCAGUGUACCCGCGGCAAGACGGAAAGACCCCGUGAACCUUUACUAUAGCUUGACACUGAACAUUGAGCCUUGAUGUGUAGGAUAGGUGGGAGGCUUUGAAGUGUGGACGCCAGUCUGCAUGGAGCCGACCUUGAAAUACCACCCUUUAAUGUUUGAUGUUCUAACGUGGACCCGUUACCCGGGUUGCGGACAGUGUCUGGUGGGUAGUUUGACUGGGGCGGUCUCCUCCUAAAGAGUAACGGAGGAGCACGAAGGUUGGCUAAUCCUGGUCGGACAUCAGGAGGUUAGUGCAAUGGCAUAAGCCAGCUUGACUGCGAGCGUGACGGCGCGAGCAGGUGCGAAAGCAGGUCAUAGUGAUCCGGUGGUUCUGAAUGGAAGGGCCAUCGCUCAACGGAUAAAAGGUACUCCGGGGAUAACAGGCUGAUACCGCCCAAGAGUUCAUAUCGACGGCGGUGUUUGGCACCUCGAUGUCGGCUCAUCACAUCCUGGGGCUGAAGUAGGUCCCAAGGGUAUGGCUGUUCGCCAUUUAAAGUGGUACGCGAGCUGGGUUUAGAACGUCGUGAGACAGUUCGGUCCCUAUCUGCCGUGGGCGCUGGAGAACUGAGGGGGGCUGCUCCUAGUACGAGAGGACCGGAGUGGACGCAUCACUGGUGUUCGGGUUGUCAUGCCAAUGGCACUGCCCGGUAGCUAAAUGCGGAAGAGAUAAGUGCUGAAAGCAUCUAAGCACGAAACUUGCCCCGAGAUGAGUUCUCCCUGAGACUUAGAGUCUCCUGAAGGAACGUUGAAGACGACGACGU
rnacentral:rRNA from 1 species